rnacentral:lncRNA from 1 species
GCAUUAUUAAAUUAGCACUUGCCAUUUUUUCAUCUGAUUGCCUUACUACUUCUAGAAGUGAGGCCCUCACUCCUGGUGCUGAUUUUCAAAACUUCCUAAGGACCAGAGACUGCAAAUGCAGAUUUUGGCAAUCCCUUUCCUGCUGUGUCUCUAUGUAGGUGUACUGUUGGUGGCUGACCCCCCCUGGAGGUCACCCUGAAGCUUCCUGGUUGGCUGGGGGGUGCUCUCUCCACUGUUUUUGUUUGUUUUGAGGAUGAGCGCACUGCCUGGUCCCUUCCCCAUUGCACAAGCCGGGGCAGUCACGAGGAGCUUGGGCUGCCUCACCGCCCUCAUCAAGCACAGGGCCGCCACGAGCUCAUCAGCUGAGACCCAGCCUAGCCUUUUUGUGUUUUUUGUGAAGCAAAUUUCCAAUUAAGCAAAAGAAGCUAAAAAUAAUGAUCAUGUUUUUGUGCCAGAUGCAGUUAGCGAUCACAGUCUGCCAUUAAGUUGAAGAGUAAGUGAGCUCUCCCAGCGGAGAAUGAGGUUACUAAGGAUCACAGCAGCUGCAUUUUCAUUUGGUUCUGAAAUUCUUGGAAUACAUUUCAGACUUUGCUGGGAAGCAGAAGCAAAGAGCCGUGCACCGAGUUGAAUCGAUGCUGACAAUUAUCAGAUGGAGAUUCGUUGGAAAGGGCCCUGUUCUGCUUCCGCCUUCACCCAGCAUGGGCUGGGCGCAUCUUGGAGCCCCAGGGCUCUCAAACCUAGGCCCACCCUGCUCCGUCCCCCUUAUCUGUUCUCCCGGGGGUUGUAGCGCAGCCCGUGCGGCCCCUCGGAGUCGUAGCUGUCAUGGUGCGGGAGCUGGGCCCACUCCGGCGGGAAGGUGGCCCUGCUGUACACGAAGCACUGCACCGCGGUGGGCGCUGGCGGCUCCUCUGCGCCCGGGGCCCGGUCCUCCAGCAGCUGUACCCGCAGCACCGUGCGCUGAUACAGGGCCGGGCAACUCUCGAAGUCAUCCAGAAAGCGCAGCAUCCGCUCGUCUACCGCGUAGACCUCGCCCUCCACGCGGCGCCCCGAGCCGGGCAGGUGCAGCAGCCACGGGAUGUUGUGCUCCCCCGCGAUCACCAACGGGUAGGGCUCCAGCGUGCGGCCGCGCGCCCGAAAGGCUGCGGAGCCGUGGGCGCAGUCCCGCAGGACCCUGUGGUUGGGCUGACCCCGCUUCAGGGUGCCGUACACGAAGACUAGGGCCAUCCGGGCAGAGCUGCGGGGAGAGGGGAAGCCACAGGUCAGCCCGCAGUGGGAGCUCUGUGUCUGCACCUGGGACGUGGCUCCCGGCCCACAGAGCCUCCACUGGGGCCGCACCACCUGAAUGCGCCUGGCUGUGCUCAGAUAAGGCGUUACUUACCGACGCAGAUGAGAAUGGCCUACAGUUUUCACACAUCAUGAGAUAUUUUGACUUUCGGCCAUUUAAACAUGUGAAAGCCAUUCCUAGCUUGUGGGCUGUUCACAAACGGGCACCAGGUCGGCUCUAACCUGUGGGCAUGGUGUUUUUGGGUUUGCCAAUCCCUAGGCUAGAGAAAGGGGCACACAUUGGUGACUUCCUUGAUGUGUCUGUAGCAGACAGGACACCUGCGUUCUGGGCAGGAGUACCGUGCCCUCAGCCUCCCCACACCACCUGGAUGGACUAAUGUUCCUCAGCCCUGCAGGGGCAGCCCUGCCUCGCCUGCACAGGCCACCCUUCUCUGAGGAACACAGUCCUGA